rnacentral:lncRNA from 1 species
AAAUGACAAAUCUUUCUUUUCACCAUUGGAAUUAAUGGUGAAGUUUCUAGGUCGAGGCUUCCAAGCUAUGCAGCUUUUCCACCUUCUCAUAUCUUGAUUUUGACCAGCUGUGGAGAUUCCUCUCGACGAUACGAGUUCGGAGAUAUAAAGAUAAUCGAAAUCGGAGUUGAAACGAGCCCUGUAGAGCUCGCCGAAGUUUUGUCGGAAAACUGCCGGAAAAACCAGACCGUGCCGGAAUUCUCGCCUGAGAAGACAGACACGUCAUCCGACACGCAGGCGCUGAGUCAUCAUCCACGUCAUCAACAGAGGGUCCACAUCGCCCUGUCAUCAGACACGUCAUCAGCCAUGUCAUUUGACAGUGACAGAAUAUUCUCUUGACAGAAUAAGAAUAUUCCGUUACCAGUAAGAGAAUAUUCCCGUGACAGAAUAUUCUUUAUCAGAGACAGAAUAUUCCUUCCCUGAGUCAACUCGGUCAGAUUGGUUUUUUGGCCAACUCAGUGAUUUUUUGACCCGUUUUUGGCCGAGUCAAGUUGGUUCCUAGCAUUUUCAACCAUUCCGAACGCAACCGUGGUGUCCGUUUUGUUAAACAGCAUACCGAAGUUACUGUUUUGGCACUUUUGAGCAUAAAAGUGUGUGUUUUAACAAGUUCGGGAUUUCAUUUGUAAUCCAAAGACGUCCUAAUGGCUGAUAUUCCAGAAGAAAAAUCAGCGGGGAAUGCUAGUAUACCUCCACAAUACAUCCCGGUAUCGAAUACCAAAUUUGAGGUGGAGAAGUUUGAUGGGAAAGGUAAUUUUGGCAUGUGGAAAUGUGAAGUCAUGGAUAUGCUUGUCCAAAUGAAUUUGGAUUUCACUUUAGAAGAUAAACCGGAGGAUUUGGAUGAUAAAAGCUGGGAAAGGAUAAAUCGGUUGGCUUGCAGUUCCAUCCGACUUUGUCUUGUAAAGGAUCAGAAGUACGCCUUUUCAGAACAAAACUCUGCAAAGGAAUUAUGGCAAGCACUGGAGGACAAGUUUAUGAAAAAGAGUAUAGAGAAUCGUCUCUACUUGAAGAAAAGGAUCUUCCGUUUUCAGCACAAGAAAGGUACUUCUAUGAAUGAGCAUCUGAAUGAUUUCAAUAAAAUGAUAGCUGAUUUGAAGAAUUUAGAUGUGGAAAUUGAUGAUGAAGAUAAAGCUCUACUGUUAUUAAAUUCACUGCCUGACACAUAUGAACAUCUCGUCACCACUUUACUGUAUGGUAAAGAAAAGAUUAAAUUCAUUGAUGUGUCCCAUGCUUUGGUGAAUAAUGAGUACUGAAAGAAGGACCAGAUUGUUCACAAGGAGUCAACGUCAGAAGCAUUGACAGUUAGAGGCAGAACAAACCCCAGAAGAUUUCGAGGGCGAGGGAGAUCUCGCUCAAAAUCCAGAGGAGAAUCAUCAAACAGACGAUAUCUUGCAAAAGAUGAGUGUGCCUUUUGUCACAAAAAAGGGCACUGGAAGAAAGAUUGUCCAAUCAAGGGCAACAAGGAAAAAGAUGAACCAACUGUGAACGUUGCACGAGAUGAGGAUGAACAAGACUCUGCAUUCAUGGUCUCAUCACCAGAAAACCAUUAUGGUGAAUGGGUUCUUGAUUCUGCAUGUUCCUAUCACAUGUGCCCUAACAAGCACUUAUUCUCGAGACUCGAGGAGUUCGAUGGAGGAGGUGUGUUGAUGGGUAAUGAUGAUGUGAGUGAGAUCAAAGGGAUUGGGACUAUCCAUCUGAAGAUGCAUAAUGGGGUAGUCAAGACACUAACAGAUGUACGGUAUGUACCUGACUUGAAGAAAAAUCUCUUCUCACUUGGAGUUCUAGAAUCCAGUGGUUAUAAGAUUAUCAUGCAUGGUGGAGUCCUAAAAGCAAUCCGUGGUGCAUUAGUUGUCUUAAGAGGCACGAGGAUAGGAAACUUAUAUUUCCUGGAUGGAUCUACAGUUACUGGUACAGCAGCUGUUUCCAAAAGUAUAGAAGAUGAUGAAGCAGAUAAUUCCAGACUUUGGCACAUGCGCUUAGGGCAUGCUGGUGAAAAGGCUUUGCAAGGAUUAGUCAAGCAAGGUCUAUUAAAAGGCGCCAAGACUGGGAAGCAUGGGUUCUGUGAGCAUUGUGUUCUUGGAAAACAGACAAGGGUCAAGUUUGGCACUGCAGUACACAACACAAAAGGGAUCCUAGAUUAUGUUCACACAGACGUAUGGGGACCUUCAAAGAAUGAAUCUCUUGGAGGUAAUCGUUGGUUUGUUACUUUUGUUGAUGAUUUCUCAAGACGAGUAUGGGUGUACAUGAUGAAACACAAGGAUGAGGUCCUUGAUAUCUUUCUGAAAUGGAAGAAAAUGGUGGAGACUCAAACUGGAAGGAGAGUUAAGACUCUUCGGUCAGAUAAUGGUGGUGAGUACACUUCAGAUCCUUUCUUUGAAGUUUGUCAGGAUGAAGGGAUCAAGCGACAUUUUACUGUUCGCAAAACACCACAACAGAAUGGAGUAGCAGAACGCAUGAACCGCACAUUGGUGGAGAAAGUCCGAUGUAUGCUAUCACAUUCGGGACUAAGCAAAGUGUUCUGGGGCGAGGCAUUAAGUUAUGCUCGUCAUAUUGUUAACCGGUUACCUUCAGCAGCAUUAAAUUGAAGAACCCCCUUAGAGGUAUGGUCAGGCUCUCCUGCAAAUGAUUAUGACUCUAUGCGUAUAUUUGGUUGCUCAGCAUAUUAUCAUGUUACUGAGUCCAAGCUAGAUCCUAGAGCAAAGAAAGCUAUAUUUUUGGGCUUUAGUGGAGGAGUAAAAGGCUACAGACUCUGGUGUUCUGAAUCAAAGAAAGUGAUCUUGAGUAGAGAUGUCACUUUUGAUGAGUCUGGCAUGUUACAGCCAGAGAAAUCACAGGAGAAGGAAAAACAGCAAGAGAAAUCACAGAGAAGGGAAAAACAGUCUGGUGAUGCACAACAGGUGGAGUUGGAGACUUCAGUCAUCCCUAUAAAGACUGUCAGACAAUCUCUACUGAAGGAGAUUCAGAUGAAAGUUCAGAUGAAGAGGAUGCAACAACUCCAGCAACCACACAACAAAAAUCCAUUGCAACGAGUAAACCGAAAAGAGUUAUCAAGAAACCUGCUCGGUAUUGUAAUAUGGUGGCUUAUGCACUUCCGGUGAUUGAUGAUGGAAUCCCCUACACCUACAAAGAAGCAGUACAGAGUGUAGAAAGUGCAAAAUGGAAAGAGGCAAUGGAUGAAGAGAUGAAAUCUCUCCACAAGAAUCAGACUUGGGAUUUGGUACAACUCCCUAAAGGAAAGAAGACAAUUGGUUGCAAGUGGGUAUAUGCCAAGAAGGAAGGUAAUCCUGGAAAAGACAACAUCCGAUUCAAAGCGAGAUUGGUAGCAAAAGGCUAUGCUCAGAAGGAGGGGAUAGAUUAUAAUGAGGUAUUCUCUCCAGUUGUUAAGCAUUCAUCAAUCCGUAUUCUGUUAGCCUUGGUUGCACAGUUUGAUUUGGAGUUAGCCCAACUUGAUGUGAAAACUGCCUUCCUACAUGGAGAUUUGGAAGAGGAAAUUUACAUGUCUCAGCCAGAUGGUUUCAAAGUCACUGGGAAAGAGAAUUGGGCUUGUAAACUGAAGAAGUCAUUAUACGGAUUGAAACAAUCUCCUCGCCAGUGGUAUAAGCGAUUUGAUAAGUUCAUGGCAGAACAUGGAUACACACGGAGUCAGUUUGAUCACUGUGUAUAUUUUCGCAAACUUCUUGAUGGUUCUUUCAUCUAUUUGCUCUUAUAUGUGGAUGAUAUGUUGAUCGCAUCAAAGAGCAAGGUGGAGAUUGAUAGACUGAAAGCUCAACUGAGAACUGAGUUUGAAAUGAAAGACCUUGGAGAAGCUAAGAAGAUUCUUGGCAUGGAGAUUCAGAGAGACAGAAGAAAAGGCACAGUCUGUUUGACACAGACCCAAUACUUGAAGAAAAUUCUACAGAGAUUUGGGGUAGAUGGUAAGACCAAGCCUGUAAGCACACCUUUAGCUCCUCAUUUUAAGCUAAGUGCUUCAAUGUCUCCACGCACAGAGGAAGAGCGCAAACAUAUGGCUCAAAUUCUGUAUGCAAAUGCAGUUGGUGCAUUAAUGUAUGCAAUGGUUUGUACGAGACCAGAUAUUUCACAUGCUGUCAGUAUGGUGAGCAGGUAUAUGCAUGAUCCGGGAAAGGGUCACUGGCAGGCAGUUAAGUGGAUUCUACGGUACAUUCAUGGCACAACUGAUAUUGGUUUGAAGUUUGAGAGGGAUGAUAGACUCGGGCAAAAUUUAGUUGGUUAUGUGGACUCGAACUAUGCUGGUGACUUAGACAAGCGUCGUUCAACAACAGGCUAUGUGUUUACACUUGCUAAAGGGCCUGUAAGUUGGAGGUCAACGUUACAAUCAACAGUAGCUUUGUCAACAACUGAGGUAGAGUACAUGGCAGUAACGGAAGCUUUCAAGGAAGCUAUUUGGUUACAUGGGUUGAUUGAAGAUUUGGGAAUUGAUCAAGAGCACGUGGAUGUCCAUUGUGAUAGUCAAAGUGCUUUUUGUCUUGCAAAGAAUCAGGUUCAUCAUUCCCGCACCAAGCACAUCGAUGUUCGAUUUCAUUUUGUUCGAGAAAUUGUGGAUGAAGGGGAUAUUCUGCUACAGAAGAUUGGUACCGCAGAUAAUCCAGCUGACAUGCUCACAAAAUGUGUCUCAGGGAUCAAGUUCCAACAUUGUUUGGACUUGGUCAACAUCUCUCGGUGUUGAGCACCUUCAGGGUGCAGCGCCAUAUGGCGCAUCAGAGGCAGCAUUGAUUGAUCACGAGGAUUGGAUGGAAAAAUCUUGCCAAGGUGGAGAUUUGUGGAGAUUUGUCUAGAUUUUAUUGAUAAUAACAAUACCCCACCACUUUACUUAGUGGAAGCAUCAUUAGUGGUUAGUGCCACAAUUAGUGGCAUGUUUCAAGGCUCUCCUUUCUGCUCUCCUUCCUCCUAUAAAUGGAGACAAUUAGUGCAAGUGAAGUGUGUGCAAGUGUGCAGAAGGAAAUAAUGCAACUGUGAGAGUGAAAGAGUGUAGAUUUGAGAGAAACACCGAGUGUAAGAGUGAAACACUGGGUUUUGUGGGAUUGUACUGGGUUGAGUUGAGUGUUUGUAUCAUUCCUCCAAUAAUAUACAAUCUAUUGCCUUCGUGGACGUACCCGGUUUUGGGGAACCACGUAAAUCUGCUUGUUUGUGUUUUAUUUGUGUUUGCUUUCGGUCCAGUAUGCACAACAAAAAUGACAAAUCUUUCUUUUCACCAUUGGAAUUAAUGGUGAAGUUUCUAGGUCGAGGCUUCCAAGCUAUGCAGCUUUUCCACCUUCAUCGAACACAAGUUACUAAUAUUUUCUUGCUCAAAUGAGUAUUCCACAGUAUUUGCUAUGCAUGUCUCGUGUCAUUCUUCCCUCCUGCAGAAAUUUAAUAACACAAGUUACACAACAGAUCAAAAGGAGAAAUUAUGGCGUAUCAGGUAAAUUAAACUUUAGAUUUAUAAGGAGAGUAUCAUUGAAUGUUGCUGAUGAAAUCCAUAUUUCCUUUAUGUUUCUUUUCAGGGUUAAAGAAAAUGGGAUAUAAAUCACAAAAAAAAUUGAAAGAUUAGGCUAUUUUCCAUUACGAAAACUAAAUUAAACUUUGAGUUUUGUUUAAACUUGAUGUAAAUGCCCAAUAGAAAUAAAGGGUAAACCAAAAAAUAUGAUAUAAUUUUCUAUUUUCUGUCUUUAUCUUUUUUUUUAAAUAUAUCCUGCGUAUUUAUUUCAGAUCCAAGUUUUUGUAUUCUUCACUGUCACAAUAAUAUAUAGAUGGCUAUAUAGACAUAAAA